UACGUAGGGGGCUAGCGUUGUCCGGAAUCAUUGGGCGUAAAGCGCGCGUAGGCGGCCCGGUAAGUCCGCUGUGAAAGUCCAGGGCUCAACCCUGGAAAGCCGGUGGAUACUGCCGGGCUAGAGUCCGGGAGAGGCGAGUGGAAUUCCUGGUGUAGCGGUGGAAUGCGCAGAUAUCAGGAGGAACACCUAAGGCGAAGGCAGGCGCUGGAACGGUACUGACGCUGAGGCGCGAAAGCUAGGGGAGCAAACGGG
rnacentral:rRNA from 1 species